rnacentral:rRNA from 1 species
CGAUGAUAGCUUGCUAUCAGGCGUCGAGCGGCGGACGGGUGAGUAAUACUUAGGAAUCUACCUAGUAGUGGGGGAUAGCACGGGGAAACUCGUAUUAAUACCGCAUACGACCUACGGGAGAAAGGGGGCAGUUUACUGCUCUCGCUAUUAGAUGAGCCUAAGUCGGAUUAGCUAGAUGGUGGGGUAAAGGCCUACCAUGGCGACGAUCUGUAGCUGGUCUGAGAGGAUGAUCAGCCACACCGGGACUGAGACACGGCCCGGACUCCUACGGGAGGCAGCAGUGGGGAAUAUUGGACAAUGGGGGAAACCCUGAUCCAGCCAUGCCGCGUGUGUGAAGAAGGCCUUUUGGUUGUAAAGCACUUUAAGCAGUGAAGAAGACUCCGUGGUUAAUACCCACGGACGAUGACAUUAGCUGCAGAAUAAGCACCGGCUAACUCUGUGCCAGCAGCCGCGGUAAUACAGAGGGUGCAAGCGUUAAUCGGAAUUACUGGGCGUAAAGGGAGCGUAGGUGGCUCGAUAAGUCAGAUGUGAAAUCCCCGGGCUCAACCUGGGAACUGCAUCUGAUACUGUUGAGCUAGAGUAUGUGAGAGGAAGGUAGAAUUCCAGGUGUAGCGGUGAAAUGCGUAGAGAUCUGGAGGAAUACCGAUGGCGAAGGCAGCCUUCUGGCAUAAUACUGACACUGAGGCUCGAAAGCGUGGGUAGCAAACAGGAUUAGAUACCCUGGUAGUCCACGCCGUAAACGAUGUCUACUAGUCGUUGGGUCCCUUGAGGACUUAGUGACGCAGCUAACGCAAUAAGUAGACCGCCUGGGGAGUACGGCCGCAAGGUUAAAACUCAAAUGAAUUGACGGGGGCCCGCACAAGCGGUGGAGCAUGUGGUUUAAUUCGAUGCAACGCGAAGAACCUUACCUGGUCUUGACAUAUCUAGAAUCCUGCAGAGAUGCGGGAGUGCCUUCGGGAAUUAGAAUACAGGUGCUGCAUG